rnacentral:rRNA from 1 species
GACGAACGCUGGCGGCGUGCUUAACACAUGCAAGUCGAACGGAAAGGCCCUGCUUUUGUGGGGUGCUCGAGUGGCGAACGGGUGAGUAACACGUGAGUAACCUGCCCUUGACUUUGGGAUAACUUCAGGAAACUGGGGCUAAUACCGGAUAGGAGCUCCUGCUGCAUGGUGGGGGUUGGAAAGUUUCGGCGGUUGUGGAUGGACUCGCGGGUUAUCAGCUUGUUGGUGGGGUAGUGGCUUACCAAGGCUUUGACGGGUAGCCGGCCUGAGAGGGUGACCGGCCACAUUGGGACUGAGAUACGGCCCAGACUCCUACGGGAGGCAGCAGUGGGGAAUAUUGCACAAUGGGCGGAAGCCUGAUGCAGCAACGCCGCGUGCGGGAUGACGGCCUUCGGGUUGUAAACCGCUUUCGCCUGUGACGAAGCGUGAGUGACGGUAAUGGGUAAAGAAGCACCGGCUAACUACGUG